AUUGAACGCUGGCGGCAGGCUUAACACAUGCAAGUCGAGCGGGGGAGGUUGCUUCGGUAACUGACCUAGCGGCGGACGGGUGAGUAAUGCUUAGGAAUCUGCCAUUUAGUGGGGGACAACGUUCCGAAAGGAAUGCUAAUACCGCAUACGUCCUACGGGAGAAAGCAGGGGAUCUUCGGACCUUGCGCUAAAUGAUGAGCCUAAGUCGGAUUAGCUAGUUGGUGGGGUAAAGGCCUACCAAGGCGACGAUCUGUAGCGGGUCUGAGAGGAUGAUCCGCCACACUGGGACUGAGACACGGCCCAGACUCCUACGGGAGGCAGCAGUGGGGAAUAUUGGACAAUGGGCGGAAGCCUGAUCCAGCCAUGCCGCGUGUGUGAAGAAGGCCUUAUGGUUGUAAAGCACUUUAAGCGAGGAGGAGGCUACCUAGAUUAAUACUCUAGGAUAGUGGACGUUACUCGCAGAAUAAGCACCGGCUAACUCUGUGCCAGCAGCCGCCGUAACAC
rnacentral:rRNA from 1 species